GGCUCAGGAUGAACGCUAGCUACAGGCUUAACACAUGCAAGUCGAGGGGCAGCAUGGUCUUAGCUUGCUAAGACUGAUGGCGACCGGCGCACGGGUGAGUAACGCGUAUCCGACCUUCCCCCAGGUAGGGAACAGCCCGGCGAAAGUCGGAUUAAUGCCCUAUAGUCUGCGAAUUGCGCAUGUUGUUUGCAGUAAAGAUUUAUCGCCUUGGGAUGGGGAUGCGUCUGAUUAGCUUGUCGGCGGGGUAACGGCCCACCGAGGCAACGAUCAGUAGGGGUUCUGAGAGGAAGGUCCCCCACACUGGUACUGAGACACGGACCAGACUCCUACGGGAGGCAGCAGUGAGGAAUAUUGGUCAAUGGGCGCGAGCCUGAACCAGCCAAGUAGCGUGCAAGGACGACGGCCCUAUGGGUUGUAAACUGCUUUUAUGCGGGGAUAACGUGCGCCACGUGCUGGUGUAUUGCAGGUACCGCAUGAAUAAGGACCGGCUAAUUCCGUGCCAGCCGCGGC
rnacentral:rRNA from 1 species